GACGAACGCUGGCGGCGUGCCUAAUACAUGCAAGUAGAACGCACAGUUUAUACCGUAGCUUGCUACACCAUACACUGUGAGUUGCGAACGGGUGAGUAACGCGUAGGUAACCUGCCUGGUAGCGGGGGAUAACUAUUGGAAACGAUAGCUAAUACCGCAUAAUAUUAAUUAUUGCAUGAUAAUUGAUUGAACGAUGCAAUUGCAUCCCUACCAGAUGGACCUGCGUUGUAUUAGCUAGUAGGUGAGGUAACGGCUCACCUAGGCGACGAUACAUAGCCGACCUGAGAGGGUGAUCGGCCACACUGGGACUGAGACACGGCCCAGACUCCUACGGGAGGCAGCAGUAGGGAAUCUUCGGCAAUGGACGAAAGUCUGACCGAGCAACGCCGCGUGAGUGAAGAAGGUUUUCGGAUCGUAAAGCUCUGUUGUAAGAGAAGAACGGGUGUGAGAGUGGAAAGUUCACACUGUGACGGUAUCUUACCAGAAGAGGACGGCUAACUACGU
rnacentral:rRNA from 1 species